rnacentral:rRNA from 1 species
AAUCUUGCGCAAUGGGCGAAAGCCUGACGCAGCCAGGCCGCGUGAAUGAUGAAGGUCUUAGGAUGGUAAAAAUCUUUCACCGGGGACGAUAAUGACGGUACCCGGCGAAGAAGACCCGUCUAACUCAGUGCCAGCAGCCGCGGUAAUACGAAGGGGGCUAGCGUUCCUCGGAAUUACUGGGCGUAAAGGGCGCGUAGGCGGACAUUUAAGUCAGGGGUGAAAUCCCAGAGCUCAACUCUGGAACUGCCUUUGAUACUGGGUGUCUUGAGUGUGAGAGAGGUAUGUGGAACUCCGAGUGUAGAGGUGAAAUUCGUAGAUAUUCGGAAGAACACCAGUGGCGAAGGCGACAUACUGGCUCAUUACUGACGCUGAGGCGCGAAAGCGUGGGGAGCAAACA